ACGACCCCCCUGGGUGCCGAGAAGACGCGAACCGCUGGAUUCGGCGCCCAGACGCAGCGGUUUGGGUCUUCUCGGCACCCAGGGGCCCGAGA
rnacentral:pre_miRNA from 1 species